rnacentral:rRNA from 1 species
AUUGAACGCUGGCGGCAGGCCUAACACAUGCAAGUCGAACGGUAACAGGAAGACGCUUGCUUCUUUGCUGACGAGUGGCGGGUGGGUGAGUAAUGUCUGGCAAACUGCCUGAUGGAGGGGGAUAACUACUGGAAACGGUAGCCAAUACCGCAUAACGUCGCAAGACCAAAGAGGGGGACCUUCGGGCCUCUUGCCAUCGGAUGUGCCCAGAUGGGAUUAGCUAGUAGGUGGGGUAACGGCUCACCUAGGCGACGAUCCCUAGCUGGUCUGAGAGGAUGACCAGCCACACUGGAACUGAGACACGGUCCAGACUCCUACGGGAGGCAGCAGUGGGGAAUAUUGCACAAUGGGCGCAAGCCUGAUGCAGCCAUGCCGCGUGGAUGAAGAAGGCCUUCGGGUUGUAAAGUUCUUUCGGCGGGGAGGAAGAGAGUAAAGUUAAUACCGUAGCUCAAUGACGUUACCCUAAGAAGAAGCACCGGCUAACUCCGUG